UACGUAGGGUGCAAGCGUUGUCCGGAAUUAUUGGCGUAAGAGCUACGUAGGCGGUCUGUCGCGUCGGCUGUGAAAUCCCGGAGCUCAACUCCGGGCUCUGCAGUCGAUACGGGCAAACUGGAGUAUUGCAGGGGAGACUGGAAUUCCUGGUGUAGCGGUGAAAUGCGCAGAUAUCAGGAGGACACCGGUGGCGAAGGCGGGUCUCUGGGCGAAUAACUGACGCUGGAGGAGCGAAAGCGUGGGGAGCGAACAGG
rnacentral:rRNA from 1 species